AGAGUUUGAUCAUGGCUCAGGAUGAACGCUAGCUACAGGCUUAACACAUGCAAGUCGAGGGGAAACGACAUCGAAAGCUUGCUUUUGAUGGGCGUCGACCGGCGCACGGGUGAGUAACGCGUAUCCAACCUGCCCACCACUUGGGGAUAACCUUGCGAAAGUAAGACUAAUACCCAAUGACGUCUCUAGAAGACAUCUGAAAGGGAUUAAAGAUUUAUCGGUGAUGGAUGGGGAUGCGUCUGAUUAGCUUGUUGGCGGGGUAACGGCCACCAAGGCUACGAUCAGUAGGGGUUCUGAGAGGAAGGUCCCCCANAUUGGAACUGAGACACGGUCCAAACUCCUACGGAGGC
rnacentral:rRNA from 1 species